CUACGGGGUGCAGCAGUGAGGAAUAUUGCACAAUGGGGGGAACCCUGAUGCAGCAACGCCGCGUGGAGGAUGACGCAUUUCGGUGUGUAAACUCCUUUUAUAUGUCAAGAAAAUGACGGUAGCAUAUGAAUAAGCACCGGCUAACUCCGUGCCAGCAGCCGCGGUAAUACGGAGGGUGCAAGCGUUACUCGGAAUCACUGGGCGUAAAGGACGCGUAGGCGGGUUGGAAAGUCAGGUGUGAAAUCCUACAGCUUAACUGUAGAACUGCACUUGAAACUUCUAAUCUAGAGUAUGGGAGGGGGAGAUGGAAUUAGUGGUGUAGGGGUAAAAUCCGUAGAUAUCACUAGGAAUACCUAAAGCGAAGGCGAUCUCCUGGAACAUUACUGACGCUAAGGCGUGAAAGCGUGGGGAGCAAACAGGAUUAGAUACCCCUGUAGUC
rnacentral:rRNA from 1 species